rnacentral:tRNA from 1 species
GACCCACUUAGCUCAGUUGGGAGAGCACCUGCCUUACAAGCAGGGGGUCACUGGUUCUAGCCCGGUAUCGCCCACCA